ACACGAAGGGCCCAAGCGUUGCGCGGAAUCAUUGGGCUUAAAGGGUGCGUAGGCGGACCUGUCAGUGCUUUGUGAAAUCCCACGGCUCAACCGUGGAACUGCUCGGCAUACUGCAGGUCUUGAGCUCGGUAGAGGCGGUCGGAACUCUAGGUGUAGCGGUGAAAUGCGUAGAUAUCUAGAGGAACGCCCAUGGUGAAGACAGGCCGCUGGGCCGACGCUGACGCUCAGGCACGAAAGCGUGGGGAGCGAACGGGAUUAGAAACCCCAGUAGUCC
rnacentral:rRNA from 1 species